CCUACGGGUGGCAGCAGUGGGGAAUAUUGCACAAUGGGGGAAACCCUGAUGCAGCGACGCCGCGUGAGUGAAGAAGGAUUUCGGUACGUAAAGCUCUAUCAGCAGGGAAGAAAAUGACGGUACCUGACGAAGAAGCCCCGGCGAACUACGUGCCAGCAGCCGCGGUAAUACGUAGGGGGCAAGCGUUAACCGGAUUUACGUGGUGUAAAGGGAGCGUAGACGGCAGCGCAAGUCUGAAGUGAAAGCCCAGGGCUUAACCAUGGAACUGCUGUUGAAACUGUGCAGCUGGAGUGCAGGAGAGGUACGCGGCAUUCCUCGUGUAGCCGUGAAAUGCGUAGAUAUUAGGAGGACCACCAGUGGCGAAGGCGGCUUACUGAACUGUAACUGCCGUUGCGGCUCGAAAGCGUCGGGAGCAAACAGGAUUACAUACCCGGGCAGUC
rnacentral:rRNA from 1 species